rnacentral:rRNA from 1 species
UACAGAGGUCUCAAGCGUUGUUCGGAUUCAUUGGGCGUAAAGGGUGCGUAGGCGGCGCGGUAAGUCGGGUGUGAAAUCUUGGAGCUUAACUCCGAAACUGCAUUCGAUACUGCCGUGCUUGAGGACUGGAGAGGAGACUGGAAUUUACGGUGUAGCGGUGAAAUGCGUAGAUAUCGUAAGGAAGACCAGUGGCGAAGGCGGGUCUCUGGACAGUUCCUGACGCUGAGGCACGAAGGUCCAGGGGAGCAA